UUUUGGUGAUGGGUAGUACUUUCAAAAUGUAAAAAGCCUAAGAAAGUAGUACACACUAAUCUUAAACGUCAAGUAAAGUUUUAUGAACAUUUUUCAAAAUUUAUUCUGAGACUGUGUUUUAUGCAUUUAACAUAAUAAUCAAACCUUUGUAAAUUCAAUGGUCAGCUUGCAGACCAUUUUUGAAUUAUAUAGGCAACGAUCGAUUGUUGAUAUUGGAUUCACGGUCUAGUUUAGGAGAAAAAGGAGAGUAUGAUGAUGAGUUUGUUAUAUGGUUAUUGUUUGGGACAGGGAGCGGGAAAUGCAGGAGCUAAACCGGUCGACGAACUCGAGAAUGGCGGGUCUAAGUUUAUUCUCGUUGGUGGUUACGUUGUUUGUAGCCGGUUUACAACUAUGGCAUCUCAAGUCAUUCUUGGAGAGGAAGAAGCUUCUCUAAUCAAACAAGUUGUUACUCUUUUAUCGGAUUUUGGUGUUAUCCAUUUUAGCUUCUUUUUUACUAAAUAAAUCACUUUCUUUAUCUUGGAUUUUCAGAAUCUAACACUCCAUUUUCUGGUUAUCGUAAAGUAAGAUCAUACAUUUCGUACUGAUUAGAAGUCUUGUUGUGUCACAUAUUGAAUAUUUUCUUCUUCUGCUGGUCGCAUAAUGGAACUAAGAUCCGGCUAGUCAGGCAAUUAAGCUGUGUUGUUUUGUAACGGCCGGGAUAGUAAUAGCCGGAUUGGUUAAACCAAAACACAUCACUAGGAAACUUAUAAUGCAUAGAGUUUCAUGACUCGUUCAAGUCUCGUAGAAGAUAGCACAAAUGGGAACCAGAAAACAAAACAAAACAACAAAACAUAAACCUAGAGAAAAGGGUGAGUGGGUUACUUACUUAAUUAGUGAAUAGAAGCUUGAGAGAUACAAUCCCUUACAAAGAAGGGUUUUAGUCAUGGCCCUUGUGGUGUUUAUCCUUCUUCUUGUUCUUCUUCUCAUCGUCACUAUCGUGAUGGUCCUUCUCCUUCUUCUUUUUCUCAUCAUGAUCGUCUUUCUUCUUGUUCUUCUUCUUCUCAUCAUAAUCAUCAUGAUGGUCCUUCUUCUUCUUCUUCUUUUCAUCAUCAUCAUCAUAGUCCUUUUUCUUCUUCUUCUCAUCAUAAUCAUCAUGAUGGUCCUUCUUCUUCUUCUUCUUUUCAUCAUCAUCAUCAUAGUCCUUUUUCUUCUUCUUCUUCUCAUCAUAAUCAUCAUGUUGGUCCUUCUCCUUCUUCUUCUUCUUUUCAUCAUCAUCAUCAUAGUCCUUUUUUUUCUUCUUCUUCUCAUCAUAAUCAUCAUGUUGGUCCUUCUCCUUCUUCUUCUUUUUCUUCUCAUCAUCAUCAUGAUGAUGGUCCUUGACCUUGUCCUUCUUCUUUUUCUCAUCAUAACCAUCAUCAUGAUGGUCCUUUUCCUUCUUCUUUUCAUCAUCAUCAUGAUGGUCCUUCUCCUUCUUCUUCUUUUCCUCAUCAUAACCAUCAUCAUGAUGGUCGUUGUGGUGCUUGUAUUGGUCCUUCUCCUUCUUCUUUUUCUUCUUCUCAUCAUCGUCAGAGACAUUACCAUCCUUUUUCUUAUCCUUCUUCUUGUUCUCCUCAUCACCAGGGUCCUUCCCACUCUGCAACAUUUAAAUAACAAUUAGAGCCAGAGAGGAUAUAUUAAUAUUCAUCCAAAACCUUUACGUUGCAAUUUCAAUAAAAAAAGUCAAUCACUCAGCAAAACAAGAAAAUUAAAGAAACCUUCAAAGUGUGUUCUCUCAGGCCAAAAUAUCAACAAAUAAAACAAUAAUAAUUCACCAUGAGAUUCUAUAUUCCAUAUAUAUAUUCCAAUUUUCAAACUUAAACACAAUCUAGAUGCACAAAGAUUAUAUUACUUUACUAAAUGAACUUACAUAUUUUGUGUGGCUGUGCUCCAACUCAGGUGGUGUACGGCCAUACUCAACAUCCGUUCUUCCGCCAUAUCCGGAAUCAGGUUUCCUUCCACCGUACUCACCUUCAACGUGAACGCCUCCGUGACCUCCGGGUCGGGUUUUGGGUCGGGCGUAGCUACUGUACUCGGUGUUCAGAGCCUGGUCGCCAUAAGCAGCAGGCUCAUGGCUAGAGGAAAACACAGGCCGCUGAUAUUCGAAGGCGUCGCCGGAGCGAGAGGAGAGAGGGUAACAAGUCUCGUCCGACGGCGGGACUGAGCGACCGUACGUCACGGUGAUGUCAUAGCCUCCGCUAUACGGCGUCGGAUCGUAGUCGUUGAAUUCAUCAACUUCAUCGUCGUCUUUGGUGUAGUACGGCAUCGUUUAAGCGUCUCCUUCUUCUCUCUGAUUAAGAGAUCGUUGCUCAGUUUAUGCUUCCCCUUGUUUACUUGGCCACCAUUACGCGGGAAAGUCAAUGAUGCCACGUGGCUUCUCUACCUUUGUUGUCUAAAAGUCAAAAGUAUCGUUUAUUCUAUCCAAAAUUAAACCAAGUGGCAAAUCCGGUCGGACCGCAAACCAUAUUAUUUAGUGUAUAGUUGUUUUACUUGUGUACCGUCAAUCUUGAAUCUUAUUCAAUGCUUCUAUAGAAUAUUAUUAGUUCUAAAAUAUAUCUAAACUAAAACGAUAGAUUUGGUCUCUGAUGAGAAGUUUUAAAUUAACAAAUAAACAUACAUACUGACGUUGAUUUUGUAGAGUACGUCGGACCGGGUUAAAGAACACCGUUCACGAACUAAGGGGUGACAUUUACAAAUAAAUGAAAAUACAGGGAGGUUUUUAGAAAUAACAAGAAGUAACAGAACAAGACGAAGAAACUAUAAAAGAACAGAACAGAUGGUGAUCAAACAACACGACACAUACAAACCGAGUUAAAGCUGUCUCCUUUCUCACCAAUCGUAAAUCACCACCAUGGCUCCGCCGCGAAUACAAUGCAACUAAUUUUUUUCGGACACUGUCACUAGAGAGAGAAGAGAGAAGAAGAGUUUCAGUUAUGGAGACGAUUAGAAUGGUGAGGGUUACGCAGGACGGUUCCGGAGACUACCUCUCCGUCCAAGACGCAGUCGACUCGGUGCCUCUCGGAAACACGUGUCGUACCGUGAUCCGUCUCUCACCGGGGAUUUACCGACAGCCUGUGUACGUGCCCAAGAGAAAAAACUUCAUCACUUUCGCCGGAAUCUCCCCGGAGAUCACCGUCAUCACUUGGAACAACACCGCUUCGAAGAUCGAGCAUCACCAGGUUUUUUUUCUUUUCUGAAAACCUUUCUAUUCUUGGCAAAAGCACGUGUAUCACUCUGAUUGGUUUGUUUGUCAGGCGUCGAGAGUCAUAGGGACGGGAACGUUUGGGUGCGGGAGUGUUAUUGUCGAAGGUGAAGACUUUAUUGCAGAGAAUGUUACUUUUGAGAACUCUGCUUCUGAGGUAAAUGAACUCUGUACCUUUAAAAUUCUAAAUGAAAUUCCGUACUGUAAUGUAAAAACUCUAUUUUUUUCUUCUUUUAAAAUAGAGUAAUUAUGUAUUCGAAAGUAUUGUAAUAGAGUUGUAGUCUAUUCCAAUCAGAAAAAUAUAAUGAUGAACAGAAAAUAAAUAAAUGAAGUAAAAUUUACUUUUUAUUUUAUUAUAAAGUGAAAAGUGGAAUAGGAUUAGAUCAAUUUUUACUACAAAUUUCAUCUGAUUCCGACAAAAGUUUACAACUUGUUUCAUCAGUUUUGUAUGGUUCUUUUACUUCUUAUAUAUGCAUAGGGAUCAGGACAAGCUGUGGCGAUUAGAGUCACUGCAGACCGUUGUGCCUUUUAUAACUGUCGCUUUCUUGGCUGGCAGGUUCGUUUCUUUAUUCAGACAACGUCAAAAUGUUAUUGUUCUUCAGGUCUCUUUAACGUUAUGUACUUGUUAAGUUUAGAUGUGUGCUUUAUUGCAAACGGUGAAGUGCAGGAUACGUUAUAUUUGCAUCAUGGGAAACAAUAUUUGAAAGACUGCUAUGUGGAAGGAAGUGUGGAUUUCAUAUUUGGGAACAGCACGGCGCUCUUGGAGCACUGCCAUAUCCACUGUAAAUCUCAGGGUUUUAUUACAGCACAAAGCCGAAAAUCGUGUCAGGAAUCUACUGGUUACGUGUUCCUAAGGUCUGUUUUUGUUUAUGUUUAUUUGGUAUGUAUUCGAAUAUUCAUCCAAGGGAGCUCAGUUUCUACAUACUUUGUUGUAGAUGUGUGAUCACUGGGAAUGGUGAGAGUGGGUAUAUGUAUCUGGGAAGGCCAUGGGGACCGUUUGGGAGGGUGGUGCUUGCGUACACUUACAUGGAUGGGUGUAUCAGAAAUGAUGGUUGGCAUAACUGGGGAAACGCUGAGAAUGAGAGAAGUGCUUGCUUUUAUGAGUACAGGUACAUACUGUAACAAGUUGCAGUAAAAAACAUUAGGUUGGUUAUUUAAUACUGUUUUUUUGAUGGAAAAACCUCAGGUGCUUUGGUCCUGGUAGCUGUUCGGCCGGACGUGUUACGUGGUCGAGAGAACUGAUGGAUGAAGAAGCGGGACACUUUCUGCAUCAUAGUUUUGUGGAUCCAGAUCAGGACCGGCCUUGGUUGUGUCUGAGAAUGGGAGUGAAAACACCAUAUUUUGCGUAGAAUACUUGUUGUAAUUGAACUUGGAAUAUUAUCUUUGUCAAAGUGAAUAAAUGCACACACCAAAACCAAAAAAAGUUGCAAAUUAUCUUUUGAUUGUUUUCUUCUUGUUUAAGCGUUGGUUAUCAAAACUACACCGAUGAUAAUUAUCAAAAUGGGCGUUUGGUCUAGUGGUAUGAUUCUCGCUUAGGGUGCGAGAGGUCCCGAGUUCAAUUCUCGGAACGCCCCUUGUUUUUCUCUUUUUAUCCACUGACUACUCGAUUUAUACUGGAAGAGUAUCUUCCUCUUUCUCAUUGUGUGUUUCAGAUUCAUUUUAUAAUUCGUGAAUGAAUUCAAAGCGAAAAGGUAUCACAGACGAUAUAAAAGGACCGAGUGAUUUUUCUUGAUUUAUUAAAAACAUUGUACAAAAUUAACAUGAUCCAUGACAUAGUGAACUUCUAAUCAUCAUCGUUCUUACUUCUUACAUAACAUUUAUAUUUAUUAUCAUCACAUAUAUAUUACUUUAUUAAGUUUUUUUUUGUCAAAGUAUUACUUUAUUAAUUAUACUAGGUUUUUUCUCCGCGCGAUGCGCGGAAAAGUGUUUUGAUAGUCGAUGUUUAAUUAUAAGUUUCAAAGUUUUUGUUUGAAAUGGAAGCAUUGUAUUUUUCAAAAUGUCUGAAAAUUAGUGAAUAUCGAGGUUACGCAAUUGUUUAAAAGCUAAAAGAGUAGCUAAGUAAGAUAAAUAAUGUAAGAAACAGAUUAAGUUUUUUGCAGAUCAGAAGUUGUGUUGAGGUUCAUAAAAAAGAAAUGAUCUGAAAUUGGUUAAGAAUAAGUUAGUUAGCAUAAAUUUAGGUAAAUACAAUAGUAGUGUUAUUUAUAUAAAAAAGUUCGUACCUGGCUUAGCUGGGAAAAAAACUCCGUGUAAGUCUCUUCUUUAUUGGAUUGUAUCAUCGCUUGGUUGCUAUGUCGGGCAUUGUAAAUCUAAGUAAACAAUUCGACUAUUUUGACAAAAGUAAUUGAAAGGUUUUGUGGAUAAUAAAGGAGGUCUAAAUAUUGGAAAUAUGAAUUACUAUAUAAAGUUUGAAAUUUAAAUCAUUUAAUAUAAUUUAAUUUUCAAGUUAUAUAGUCGUUGUAAAUUACUAUGAUUGAAUUUGAUUAUAGAUUUAAUAGUAAAUGAGUUUUUAUAUUCGUUAAAUAAGCCGAGUCCGGUCGGUUUAAAACCCGGAUUUGAGAAAAAACCGGUGAAACUGGCUAAAAACCGGUAAAACCGAUGACCUGGUUCAACUUCAAAACCCGGUUCAAUAGAAAUCAACAUAUAAUUAACGUAUUUUCAAUUUUUAUUAAAAUAUAAUAUUUCAUAAUUAAUUUUAAUUUUUACUAUUUAAUUAGUUUUCUCUUGAUUCUUUUUUAAGAAUUUUUUUUUAAAAAAUCUCUUUUUGAUUCUCAUAUUUUAUUCUCAUUUUUCUAUAUUCAUAAAAUUUCAGACUUUUAGUUGUAAAAAUAAAUAAAUAUGUAAUUUAAACGGUUAUUCAUUUUUUUUAAAUCAAUUUUAGUUGAUAUAGUAUUCACUUAUAUAUAUAUAACUAAACUUAAGGUUAUUGUUUAUUAUCUAAUUAAUAAAAGAGAACAUAGACAUAUUAUAUGUAGAACUACAUUUUAGGUCUAUAUAGUAUAAAUAUAUGAUUAUUUAGAUUUAUUUAUUUUUAAAUAGAAAAUCCGGUUCGACCGGUUGAACCGGUCCGACCACUUAACCAGUAGCUUACCGAGUCGGUAUCCGGUCCGGUUUUAAAAAUAUUAGUUUUUGGGUUUGUAAUAUUGUCUCAAUUACUUCGUCCAGCUCUUCUUUGUUAUAGGGUUUCAAAUUUCCUGAAGCCAUAACAUCUAACACACCAACAACUUGAGAAUUAAGCCCAUGUCUAUUAUCUGAUCUGCCUCAUCAAGAAUCAGAUCGUUGCACGGACUGACCACAUCAUACCGUAUCAAUCAAACAACCAGGAGUGGAAAUCACAAUAUUCACACCCUUGUGUUAUCAUCUUAAAACACAGUUCUUCAAUCGACUGACCACCCACUAUAGAAGGCACCCCAAUCCUAGAUACUUGGAAAACUUGAUAGUUUCCUCCCCAAUCUGAUGAGCAAGCUCCCGAGUAAGUUCUACAACCGCAGCGUAAGGUCCCCUCAGUUUCAUUAUCUUAGCUCAUAAGCGACAAUCUAGAUAUGUAAGCUAGCAUGGCCAAAAUAGGUAGCAGUCUUACCAGAACCGGUCUCUACCAUGAAGAGUACACCACAAUGUUGCAUUGAAAGUGGUAUAAGCUAGAUCUUGUAGUUUUCUUGUAAGAUCUCUCCACAGAUUUCAAAAGCGUAUGAUUGGCUCGGAUCCGAAUCUACAGAGAUAUCCUUGCAAAAAUAAAGAGAUGUAUGGUUUAAAACAUAACUGGUUGGAUCUACUUAAAACUCUGGUUUUCACAUACCUUGUCAACAUAUGAUGAAGAUUAUUUGAUCUAUAUCUACCUUUUGGCCUUACCUGCAAUGUGUGAAUCCAUAGCGAUAAUGCCGAGUUGAGCACCGAUGUAGGUUAGAAGCAGAAGAUUUUUCAGAGCUAAAUAUAGACAAAACAGGGCAGUGGAGAUGAAGUAACUUUCAAGCAAAGAAUUGAAGGAGGAAGAAAGUAGUUAAUUGUCGACGUGACCGAGAGGGAUAACUGUCGCAAUGCAUGAUUUAUAUCUUUAACCGACCUGUGGAAUAAGCUCUUCGCAGUUUCGAAAAAUCAGUUCGUUGAAGCUCUUUCAACAGCAGGCCAAAUUAAAGUGUUGCUCCCUCACUGCUAAUUCUUUGCAUGAUUUCUCAGAAGGUCAACUUUGUUUUCUUCAUUGAGCCUGCCACAUAAUAACAUUAAAACCCAAAAAAACCGAGCAUGAGAGAUUAAGCUAUUUAAAGUCGUUAUGAUAGAAACAUACAUGAAAACUAAAGCAAAAGUUUGAUGUAACUUGUUCAUAGUGGUAUGUAAUUGUAAACUAAAGCAAAAAUGAUAACUAUCUAAUAUCUACUGGUUAUAGUGAUUUCAUAACUGGCCUUCACUACUCACUCUAGUUUCAUACUAAAGAGAAAACAUUUGAGAUUUAUUAAACACGAUACACAUAACCCAGUGGCACAACAACACGAAGGCUAAGUGAUGGUACAACUGAGAGAGACUACCUGAGAAAUUAUCUUUGUAUGCAACUGCUUUCUCAAGAUAGGCACCAUUGAAGGUUGAACAACUGAAAUCAGAAUCUAUCAGAAUCUAUUACCUAAGGAAUAAAACAAAGUCUUGUUUUAUCAGUUUGAUGGUUUGUUGAUUAAGUUGUUAUUAGUUUAAACUGUGAAAACGUAAAUCACUAAAACAAAAGAUCAAAACUUUGAACUUUGUUUAUGCUGAUCCCAAGCUGCAUCAAGAACGAUACUUAAUAUUUUACCUGAAAUUUCAUUGGCAUGAACUGUUUUGCUGCAAAACAAACAAUGUUCAUCUCAGCUAAAUAAACAAAUGAAACUGCUUCAAAAAAUUAACGCAAAACUUCACUACUUACAUUUAGAGAAUUGUCCAUGAAACCAGAAAAGAGUCUGCUAGCUCCAACAUAUAAAGAGACUCUGUAAGUGAAGUGACGCAGCCGUAUGAUAACGUAGUGGCAGUAUUGUAUCUCCAAGCCAAAGUAAAGCCAUCCUGCACAUAGAGAAUGAUAUGUCCCUAUAAGAACUUGUUACUUACCUAAAACCCAAUAGACCUGUAAAAUUCUAUAACACAGAUUUGUUUUCCCAAUCAAAAAGAUAAUCUAUGAUAAUUUUGAAGGAGAAAAACAAAGAUGAAGGAUAGGAAUAAUGGCAAAACACAAUUAUACUCGGUUUAAGAAAUAUAUUACACAGUCAUUUAAACAAAUUUAUGUACUCAUAUUCACCUGAAGAUUAGUUAGUAAGUUUUAUGUCAUCAGUCAUAAAGAUUUUGUGAAGAGAGAUGUUUACCAGCUUGCAAAGAAAGAGUAUUUUCGUUUCACUGGUUUGUCCAUCUUUACAAUUUUUUACGCUCCUCUCAGUGAUGCUCACGCAUGGGAUCAAGCUCUGAUAGGAUAGAGAUUAGAAUCCGGUUAAUAUACUACUCAAGAGAAGAGAGGCUAGAGUAAACGGUUUAUACCUUGAGAUGAUCAGAGGCGUUGCAGGGAUUUCGCGUUAAAAUAAUUAGCAGAACCACCGAACAGAUCUAAUUCAUCGUCAGUGGAGCUAUCAUUGUUUACACUGAGGCAACUGCAGCGUUGCUUCCAUGUUUGCCUUGCCUCUCGGUGUUCUCCUCUAUGACAUCCUGGACUAAACAAACGGAAAGAACAGAGCGGAGGGGGCCUUUCCUGUUGAUUACUCAGUUUGGAUUGUCAUUGAUUGCUCUAAUAACUUUUUUCCGUGAAUUUGGUGAAGGGGAGAAGCAAGAGAGAUGAGGAAUAUAUAAGGUGGGGAGGUGAUUGGAAGGAAAUCGAUUCAUGCCUUUAGGAUUAUUUUUUUGAGGAACAUAUACGUUGAAUUGGCCAAAAAAAAAAUAUGUGUUGAAGAGGAGAACAUGAAGCUGUAGAAACGAUUGAAUUUCUCAGAUGAGUUUGAAGAAGACAAAGGCUAAACGAUUGAAUCGCAUAAAAAGUGGGCCAGAUGAUGGUCUAAUGAAUUACAAAGUGGUCACGUUGAAACUAAAAGCCUGUUUUGGAGAUAGUUGAUGAUGUGGCUAUUUGAUGUAUUUUGAUUUGCUGAAUUUAAAUGUAUACGUGGAUGCCUUAAGCAUUGAGCUUAUUUAACUUUUAGUAUAGUAUAGAUUGGUUAUUUCAACAAGUAGGAAAAGGAAUACCACAAAACCCUAAGGCCAAGUGAGCUUCAGGGGAAGUAGCGAACUUUCUUAAAGUUGGAUUCUUUAUGAAAUCACAAUAACAUGGUUGCUGUGCUUUCAGUGUUCCGCAACACUGUGCAGAUGGCUUAGUUUUAUCAAAUAAUUCUGGCCAGCAUCCUGUGAGAUCAAUCGUAGUGCAUGGUGGUUUAGUAGAUUCUACGACCACUCUUGAUUCGAUCUGAGGCGGAGAUGAUACGAGGACUACGACAAAGGCGAUGAAUACUAAUAGUGUUGUACUCUUCAUGUCUUGUGACUUUCUAUCCACUUCCGAUGCUAUUCUUUUUAUUUUUUUUCUUCUCUAUCGUAAAGAGUACACUUUGAGAUUCUGAGUUGUGUUUAACUAGGGAUGAUGACAUUAUUAUAUAUAGAUAUGAACUUGUAACUGACAAAACACAUGUCAGAUUUUGUAAUGUUGUGGAUUCUGUCUCAAUAUUUUUUUGAUAAGAGAAAAGAAAUUAAAAAAAUUAGUAUCAAAAUUAAUGAUGGAAACGAGAUCUUCUUACUAAGAAAACCUUAGAAUAUCCUCAUUGUUCUGUCAACAAAGAUAUCUAGUAAAUAUCAUACUAAUAGUUUUAAUUUAAUUUUGUUAAUAAUUAAAUUUUAAUCCAUAAAAUAAAACUCAAGUUACUGAACUAAUAAUGAAAUUACAUGUGUUAAAUGGGUAUCUUAUUUUUUGUUGGGUCUCUCAUAGGGCUGUUCAAUAUGGUAAAACCGAACCGUACCGAACCGAACCGAACCGAAAUAGACAAUAUGGUUUGGUUUUGGUAUAUACCAUAUAAACCGAAUGGAUAUAAUUUUAUAAAAACCGUAGGAUUUGGAUAUGGUUUGGUAUAUAACCGAUUAAACCGAAUAAACCGAACAAAACCGAUUAAAAGUAGAAACAUGUAAAUAUGUAUCUAUUUUAUAACAAUACAUGAAAAUCUAUUUGUUACAUAAGUUAAAUUUGUGUUAAUAACUAUUAUAAUUUUAUAGUAAUAAAAAACCUUAAUUUGUAAAACACUUGAACUAUAACUAAAUAACAAUACAUCGCAAUUCACAUUUUAUUUUCUAAGUCUUUUUUUUAUCUUUUUGAUUUAUUUUAGUCUUCACUAAAUUAAUAUGAAGAUUAUAAGUUUGAUAGACAAUAAUUAAUGGAAAAUUUUCAAUUGAAAAUGCAUGAUUUUAAUGAACACUAAAUAUGGAAGAGUGGAAAAACUUUUAUUUCAUGUUUCUGUUUUGUUUCAUAUUUUUAUUUUCAAAAUUUCAAGCUUUGAUUUUAGUUAUAGAUUUGAUUAUUUUAUUUGAUGGUAGAAGUAUUUUUACUUUUUUGUUCAUUUAUUUGAACAGGUAAUAUAUUUUUAAUAAAUGACUGUGUUGACAAUAUGACUCUAAAAUUCAUAUAAUAUGAUCUCAAACAAAAUAAUUAUGUUUUUUGGUAUAAAACCGAAUAAACCAAAAACCGACGGUAUAUAAACCGAACCGAACCGAAGUAAAUAUGGAUUUAGAAUAGUAGUUAUAUUUUACUAAUCGAAAUACCGAAAACCGAAAAAAACCGAACCGAAACCGAACCGAUAUCCGGAUUGAACACCCCUAGUCUCUCAUAUGAAAUUACAUUCCUCAUUUCCUUUUUGUUUUUCUUUUUGUUGAAAAACUCAUCUAAAAGAUUUACAAUGAGGAUAUUGUUGCCUUCACAGUCGUCACUCCUAACCAAAUAAAUUACAUUUGUAAAUGAACUUUAAUUUUAUAUUUAUACUAGUCACAACAAAAUCUCCCAGGAAAUAUUUUAAACUAAAUUCUACAUUGUAAACAAUUCAGUUAAACAUUUUCACUAAUAUUUGUUUUUGGUAAAAAUGUAAAGAUAUUAUUACCAAAUUUUAAGUUUUUGACAGAAAUUAUAAAGGUUAACGAGAAACAGAGAAAAACAAAUAAAAUUCUACACACAACUUCAAUCUAGUUAAAGCGGGACAGACAGAUACAACAACUACAACCGCUAUCCUGAGACUCGACCAAGUCCACACAACAGCUUGCCGCAAAAGAAUGAGCAAAGUUCAACCGAGAGUCAGAACCCUGGUAAUUUUGGCCUCUCUGGUGAUUUGCUCUUAAAGAUAAUGGCCCAUACGAGAACAGCUCGCCGAGGCUCUAUAGCACAAGCCGACAAAGACAGACAAGCAACGCAGGGGCCAAACACACCCGACGUAACCAAAACCGAGCAUUUAUUAGCCCGAAAACGGCCUAUGCAUGAUGCCACUCCGAACAAAACAGGGCUGCAACCUCUGUACUCUCCAGACCGAGCUCAACCUGCACACAAUUGUCACGCACACCACCAUAAAGAGUUCAAACAAACCCACGUGAUGUUGGGAUGUGAAGGAAGACCGAGCGUUAGGAAGUGGUAGUCAAUGACCCGAGAACCACCACUCGCUCAUCGUCGCCAAGAAUCGACGAACUAAAAUUGGAGACGCUAGAGCUGAACUUGCCACAGCAAGAAACGGGAUUUGAAAACAGAGCACAAAUCAUCCGGAGGAGGGACCGUGAAGAGGAAGGCCGAUGGUGAGGAAGUAAUGCGAGAGGCCACUCAAGCGGCAUAGACGGCCGCUCUUUAAACCUCCUACAGGACCUACGCGAGCUGGCCACAUAGCUCAGACACUACCCCACCUGUGCUGAAGCUCACGAACUCGCCGCCGUGGUACAGAAACCACACCAUGCUAAGUAGGAGAACACUCAGGUCCAAGAACCGACGAGAGUAUAAUUUCACUAAUAUAUUUACAACUAAUAUAUCCAUUUUUAGUCUUGGAUAUUAUUUUAUCCUAGUAUUUCAAUAUUCAAUAAUCUUUUUUUUAUAUUAUUUGGGAGUAUCCGAAUCUGAACUCAACUAAUUCUCUGGAGGCUGGUCUAUCGGCGACAGACAAACCCAGAAUUCUACAAUAGAAUUAAAUAUCCACACCAGUCUGGUCAUAAUGAUAGGUAAAUCUGCAUGGUAUGUUUCAAAUCCUGGAAAUUUAACACUUCUCUAAGUCCACCGAACCAUCCGACCACACUCACGUCGUUAAUAUAUUCAAUAAUCUUUUCUCAUAGUUUAUAUCAAUACUAGUGUUUGAUCCCGUACUACGUACGGGAAACAAUCUUAAUUUUUUAUAAAUUCAACAUAUAUUUUGAACGUGUAUUGUAUUGACAAUACACUUUGGGUUAAAAAUAUAUUAACUCCACGUAUAUUGUCGUACCACUUUUAUUGGGUGUCAAGAGAUACCGAAGAGUGUUAAUUUAUAUUUACAUAAAACAUAAAUUAUGGAUAAUAUAUCGAGAAAAAUCAUAACAAUUACCUCAAUUGCGUCCCAGCAGCACCACCGAUAUGUCAUCUUCACAUUUCUUAAGGGAAACAUAAGAUGUCUUUCUUUUGCCACAUGGCUAUAAAUCUAUGAAAAAACAAUAACAAUGAAACAACCGAAAUAAAAGUGGUAAAACAAUUACUUUAGUAUUUCUACACAUGGUCUCAUUUCUUAACUCUAUUUGUGCGACCUUGUUGUUUCUUCGUCUUCAUAUAAUGUUUAAUAGUAUUACAUUCUAAAUUCGAAAACACUAUUUUGAGUCAAAUUUAAGUUAGAGUAUUAAAUCUGAAGAUAGAUAUAAAUAGUUCUGAAUGAAAAUAAGUUUAGAUAUAUUUAUGUUUUAGCUUUCCAUAAGGUAUCAAAAAGAAAUUUAACUUCUUAUUAAUAUAUCAUAACAAAUCCAUAAAAGAUAGUGAAAUUUUUAUUUAGAUAUUGACAAACUAUAAAACAUAAAAUAUGCAAUUUCUUUGUACUUAUAAGGGAUAUAAUAAAUUUGUUUGUCAAAAUAAAAUAACUGGGAUUAAUUUCAGAACUUGGUGAUAUACAAAUUAAAAUCACAUUGACAUUUGUUCCGUUUUUGUUUUCUAUGUACAUGUUACAGAACUAAUUAGCUUUAUCAUCCACACUUUUAUAAACUUACUUUUUUUUGUCUAAAUACAAACUUACUUCUUCUACUAAAACCCAUAAAUAUACAUAUUGUACCAAGGAAAAUAUAACAACUUUCAUUAUCCAUAAAUUUACUUGAACAAUUGACCUUAAUCAUGUUCGGUAGUUCCCACCACAGCACCAAAAACUAUAUUCACGUUCCUCAGUGGUAAUAUGGCCCAGGUUUUCUUUUUCUCUAUAACCAUUAUAAACCUAAUUUUUUGGAGAGGAAGCUUUAAAACACCAAAACAAAUUCUGGUAAGCUGAAAAAAUUGUCAAAUACUCACGUUAGUAUUUCAAAUCGAGUUAAGGUCUGGUGUUUGGAAUCUCUGUAUACACAUCUAAAUCUGUUGUCCCUUGGUCUUCUUAAGCAUAAACCAAUGAAAGAAACACAUAUUUGUAAAUAGUCAAAUCCUUUUUGUCAAAGAAAGAGAAAGAAGUAAUCUACAUCCAAUAUACGUUAUAUAAUAUAGCCAUAUAUACUUACUAUUACCUUGACAAUGCUUUUGAUUUCCCAUUUUUCUGGAAGAGCUAAGCUCUGAAUCAGGAGAAAACUCCAUUGGUAUCUUUAUUGUGAAUCAUGCAAAAAAGAAGAAGAGAGCAUUAAGUUAAGAAGAAGAAAACAUUGAAUCAAUUACCAACAAAAAGGUAACAUUGAAUCUGGAUUUUUUUAGGAAAAAUAUAAACAUGUAACUGUUUUCUUUUGUUACAUUCAAAACCCAAAAGAAAAAAACAAUUCGAGGAGGAAGAUGAAACUGUGGCAAAAAAAAGAGCGAAUAGAAACAAAUUAGUUGACUGAAAGUUAUAUAUACAUACAUAAUAAUAAACAGUUUGAAACUGCCAUGAUAUAGAAGUUAUGAUGUUAUGUUCACUUUUGGACGUGGUGAUCUGAGAAAAUUCAGGGAUUUAGAUUUUGCAGUUUCAAAAAAGUAUGCAAGGGAUUUUGCGGUUGUUUUAUUUGUUUUUUAGGUUUACUCGAUUGCUGAAAAUUCUGAAUGUAUUUAAUUAAUUAUUUUGAAAACAAAAGGUUACCUUUUUUAGAAACUGUAAAUGACACAUGUCAAUCAGAGCAUUGUUAAAUGACUUGUGUUAGUUUAAAUUUAAACUCCAGAAAAAUAGGAGAUGCAAAGAAAAAUUCAUAAAAAAUUGCUUUACCUGAUUGGGUCGUAAAAGGUUGGUUAUUUGUCUUAUUUUCAAACUUCCAUGUUUUGAUAACGUGUUUUACUUUUUUGUAUUUUUCAAUUUUUUUUUUUUUUAAAUAGAUUUUCCACAUGUCAAAUUUAGAUUGGUGAUGCGACUUGCGCUUUAGUAUAUAAAAGAUACGAUAUCGAGUAUGAUAAUAUGAGGGAAACAUCUUCAUUGAUUAUUUUAAGUUGAGCUCAUAGUGUCUCUCUGAAAUGCUUCAAGCACUCUUUACAUAUGAUUUAUUAAAACUUACAUGGAAAAACCAUGAUAAAUGACAUUAUGAAUUUAUAAUCAUCAUCAUUCUUGCAUAAAAAUAUUGACCAUUAUUUAAUAUUAUUAUUUUUAAUAAUUAUCUUGGUUACUUCAACAUGCAGGAUGAAGAACCACAAGACGCUAGGGCCAUGUGAGCUUGUGGGGAAGUAGCGAAGUGUUUUAAAGCUGGAUCCUUUAUAAAAUCACACUAAAACAUGGUUGUUGUGCUUUCAGUGUUCGGCAACAUUGUGGCGAUAUUUAUCUCCUAAGACUAUAGCUAGAAAACAUCAUAUGAUAUCAAUCUCGGUGCAAGGCGGUUUUGUAGAUUUUACGCCCACUCUUGAUUUGAUCGCAGCUGGAGAUAGCACGACGAUUACAACAACGGCGAUGAGUACUAUUAGUUAUGUACACUUCAUGUCUUGUGACUUUGUCUCUUUGAUGCAUGUCUUCCAACAAUCGGUGGUCAACAUAAUUAAGUAAGAGAAGCACCCAAUAAAAUUUCAUCAAACUAUUUCUUUAGGUUCGUUACUGAAUAUCACAUUAAAGAACAUAAGUUUGUUUAUUCCAUUUAAUAACUAAGGUUUUAUUUUUAUUUUAAACGUUAUAUAUGAUUUAUUUAAAAUAUUGCAAAGAAUUGACAUACUAUAAUGAAUUUCCAAUCAUCAUCACUCUUACAUAACAUAAUUGUUCUUCACCAUAUAAUACUUUUGUUAAUUAUCUUGGAUUUCAACAAGUAGGAUAAGGAAUACCACAAGACGCUAGAGCCGCAUGACCUUGAGGGGAAGUAAUAUAUGGCUUUAAACCUGCAUUCUUUAUGAAAUCACAAUAACAUGGUUGUUGUACAUUCAGAUUCCGACAACAUUCUGGCGAUAGUGGUGCUCCAUAGAGUAUGGCUGGAACGCAUCCUGUGAUAUCAAUAGUGGUGCAAGGUGAAUUAGAUUGAAUAAGUUGGGAAUUGAUCGGAGCCGCCGUUGAUGAAAAGAGGACAACAACAACAAACGCGAUGGAUGCUAGUGUUGUAAACUUCAUGAUGCCUUGUGACUUUCUCUCCACUUACAAUAUUGAUCUUUGUUUUUGUUUUUAUAUUCUAAAAUGUAUUUGAUAUUUUGAGUGGGAUGGUGAAGUUAUUGAGUAGCACCACAACUGCAAUGCAAACAAAAUAAAGUCAAUGUUUCAUUGGUUUUCUAUAAUAGUUCAUGACCAGAAAAGAAAAUUGUUUGACCCAAAAAAAAAGAAAAGAAAGUGUAUGGAAAUAUAUGAUAUGAAGAUUUGAUACAUUUGCAUAGGGGUGAGCAUUUUACCCGAUAUCCGAACCCGUAUCGGAAUCCGAUCCGAAAAACCCGAACCAAAAUCUGAACCGAAGUGUAAAAUACUAGAACAGAUAUUGAAUUAGGAGAGAUUGAAUAUCUGAACCCGAACGGAUAAUAUCCGAAUCCGAAUAGCUAUGUGAAGAUAACCGAACAUAUGAAUACUUAACCCUAUAUUUCUAUUUUACUUUUCUAAUUUUAUUCAAAAUAUUUAUAUUGAUACUGCACAUGGCUCCAAAUCAGAUAAUACACAUAAUUAUGGACAAAAUCAGUUGCUAUGCAAUUAAAAUACAUAUCAAGCUCUUGUUUUCUAUAUUAACAAAAAUUGCAUCCAAAAUUUUAAAAUAACAAUUAAAUUAGUGUGUUUCUAUUUUAAAAGUUUUAUCUUCAAAACAUAUUAAUAGUUUAAUCUAUUAAAACUUAGAAAAUCAGUUAAGUUAAAAAUACAUAUUUUAAAUACAAAAAUCUUAAACAACGAAGAAUUUAUUUUUUUCCUUCAUAAUCUAAAUAUUCGAAGACCCGAAAUAACCGAACCUGAACUUAAAAUACUCGAACUCAACCCAAAAUGUAGAAAUACCCAAACGAGUUUUAUAUUUCUAUACUGAAAUACCCAAAAAUCUGAAAUAUCUGACCCUAACUUGAACAUGUAUCCAAACGCCUAUCCCUACAUUUGCAGAUAGAUUUGAUACAUAUCCAAGUGAAAUAAUUGAAAAUAUUCAUAACUGAAAACAUAGCAAAAAGAAUUAGGCUUGUGGCUAAGAAAAAGAAAAGAAAAAGAAAAAAAGACAUUAUAAAAAUGGUCAAACGAAGUUUGUAGCCACGAUUUAAGAAUCUGAGAGUAUUGUGAACAUCUAAGUUUUAUGCACACAUGACCAAACCUUAGAAACCAUCAAAAAUGGAAAAAAAGAUAGUUACUAUUACAGUAGAGUUUAACUUGAAUCCAUGUAUAUAAUAGUAACCCGGCAAAGUAAACACUGCACCCACAUCUUACACUAUCUUCUCUACUAUUACAAACCGUGGAAACAAAUGUCUUUAACAAAUGGUUAAAAGCUCUCAGAUCACACGGAGCUCGGUAAGAAAGGCUGCGCAUAGAUCCAAGAAGAGAAACUGAGGACCGUUAACUCUUUGUAUAUCCAGCAAGUUCUUCUCUUCCCGAGCUUUGUACAGCUGUUUUAAAAUUCAAAGUAGCACAGAAAAAUUGUGGGGAGUGGGUGUAAUGAUGACAUAUGUGAGCAUUGUUACUGUGAAACAGUUGGUUCAAGUUUUAUGGUCUAGUCUCUGUCCUAACUGGUUUAGUUUUGGUGAUACAUGUGCACAUUGUGUGUGAGUUUGUAGUUACCUGACGUUCAAAUUUGAUGACAGUGGGUAAGAUCAUGGCACAGUCAUCCUCAAUGAUGCUGGAAUCAUCUCCGAAGUGCAGCUUAUUGUUGUGACAGUGGGUGAGAUUUUUCCAACCCACACAUAUAUAACAUAAAAAAACAACAGUACUGAGCAAAGAAAGUUUAGGUAAAACAACAACAACAACUUAGGUGGGGAUUUCGCUUUGGGCUUCAUCAUUACGAGCAUCUUCUUCUUUUGAAGAUGAUCCGAGCUGCUGCUUACUUGUACUGUGUCGGGCCCAAAAAAAAAAAACAAUUCAUCAAUAACCAUCUGAUUAGCUACUUGAUAUAUAUAUAUAUAUAUACACAGUGGAGAUAUGGUGACCGUGAAUCUAGUAUACCUUGAUGAAGACGACUUAGGCAUUGUGGUGUUGGUUGUGGUAACAUCAGACCACUUGAGGAGCCUUCUCUGUUAUAACAAUAUAUAAGCUGAAAUCAAAUCAACCAAAAUAACAAAAGCCUAGAGAUUGACAUAAAUUUAUCGAUAAGGAAUAUUAUUUGGAAAGAAAGUAAAAAAAAUAACCUUCAACUUGGCAGGAUCAUUGCGCCGGCUCGAGCGACUAGGAGGAGGAAACAACACUGCCUUACGCGAAUUACUUAAACUCCUACUGAGAACAAAACAAUUACCGACUGGUUUCCGCAUAGCAACACUUUUGUGCUGGAAGGAAACCCUAGCGACGGUAUAUAUAUGCCCGUAAUUUGGGAUUAAAGCAAGCUUUAUAAUCUUCAACCCCUGGUCCGGCCUAUACUAUUAUUACCCAAACUACAUUUUCUCUGACUUGUCUUUGAACCGGCAAACCGGUUUACAUCAAUAAUUUAGUUUUUUUCUUGCAAAUAAGAGCAAGUCCAACGAGAAGUUCUAAGAGCACCUGCAACGCGGGUUCGUAAUGAAUCCUUAGCACGAUUAUUUAGGCAAAUGACAUAUAAAUAAUAAAAAAAAAAUUUCGUAACCGAAGGAUUGAUCCUUAAUUAAGGCGUCUAAGGAUCAAAUCCUUAAGGACGUGGCAAGGCGUGAGUGGUCCGGCUGGGAGUUGUGUUUCGCGUGUGGAAAAUUUUUUUUACUCUCUUUCUCCAUCACGAAAAAAAGCUCUCUCGAAGGCGAUUCGGCGAUUAUGAAACCAUGUCGUCGUCUCUUCUUCUCUCUGGCUCUACAGUAUCUUCUUCGUUCAUCGCUGCAUCGAAGCUGUAACAUCUCUCUCUAUCUCCUUCGUCUGCCUUCAUUUCACCUUCUUUCGGCUUAUCCAAUUUCAAAUUCUAGGGUUUGUUCGUAUACUUGUUCCAUAAUCGAAUCUUAAGAGCUUAUGAAUUUGUUUAUGAUUACAGUUCUCUCUUACGGAAUCCAAAUCAGUCACUGUCACUAUCUCGGAACCUUUUGAGAAGUUUCAAACCCAUUAAGUGCUCCUCCGCUGAUUCUCCAUACGGAGGUUAUUAUUAUCAUCUCCCCUUCCUCUCUUUAAAGUUUCAAUCUUUACUCUGUUUUUUUAUUAACUCAUGUAAAUCGAAUUAUCCUUUUUUUGUGUGUAGGCAACGUCCUCACGUUCCCUCUAACCAGGGUCUGGGACCCGUACAAGCGUCUAGGGAUUAGCCCCUACGCCUCCGAGGAAGAGAUCUGGGCCUCCUGGUAAACUUCUGCGUAUAUUUCCUUAAUGAGAAGACAAAGAGCUUGGGGAGAGCUUGCCUAAUCGGGUAAACUCCUGGUGCUAUUUGAAAACUAGCUGAAACGAGAACUUGGAUUGUUUUUUUUUUUCCUUUCAAUUAUUGGGGUUUGGUUAUUAUGAUUGCAGGUUUGGUGCAUUAACAGUGGGGUGGUUCUGCGGUUCGCUAGUCAUUCCCAUGAUUCCGACGGCUUUCAUUAACCCGUGGACACUGGAGCUUCUAACGUCACUGGUUGCUUAUGUGUUUUUGUUUCUUUCUUGUACUUUCCUUAAGUAGGUUGCAUUUUCUCUAUUUCAGGUGAAAUACAAGACCAUGUGUACAAGACCAAAGUCACGGGUACUUUGUUUGUUUUAGCUUUGUAUUUCUUGCCUUUAUAAGUCUGUUUGUAGACUCGGCUAAGAGCUAUUUCAUUUGCUCUUGUUGUACUCAAAACUGGUUAUGAUGAUAUUUUAAUUUCAAGCAUCUGCGUUUCAUCAACCCUUGCCUUCAUCUACUUUGCUUUGGCUUUAGGUAUGCUCACUGAUCUCAUAGAUGAUAAGAGUUAAUGAUGUACUUCGGUUUGGCUUUAGGUGACUGAUAUGUAUGCACUAGAAACUUAUUUGAUUCGUUCAUUUCUGUUUUCGGUCAUGUGAUUAGCUAGAUGUUUGCAAAUUUCAUAAUUUUUAAUUUCUAAGAUUCAAUUAAAAAAAAAAUCUAAUGACUCCAUAAUGGAUAACACCAUUGAACAUACAAUUAGGAUUAGUUCUUAACUAUUCAAAAAAAAACUACUAUUAUAUUGCUAAGGACUCCAAUGGUGGGUAACACCAUUGGAGAUACUCUAAGGAGAAUAUGUCUUAUAUAAAAAAAAUCGGUAAAAUAUUAAAAAGAGUUGAGAGAAGAAAGAAGAAAGAAGAGUUGUUUGCAAAGAGGUGCAGAGAAGUGUUUAGAACAGCAUUAUCCCUACCACUCUAUUAUGGAGUGCUUAAAUUUUUAUUUUUUUUAGUUUUUCUGGAUUUUAAAAAAAAAUUAAUAAAUAAACUAAUUGUAGGUCGUCACGUAUCAGUAGGACCCGUAAACUAGGCAAACACUGACGAUUAAAUAGGCUGCAGAAGCAAUGGUGUUUAGUUUUUUGUGGGACCCACUCACUAUUAUAUUAACUUUCUUUUAAGCUCCCCUAUUUAGCUCUUCCGUUAAUGUUGCUCUUAGAUACUAAGUUCUACAUCUGUCGUCUGUUUGUUGAAUUUUGUAUUUAUAGAAAAUUAAAAUAUAAUUUUUUUAUUAAAAUAUUAAUUCUUUUAUUUUUUUAGAACCUUUGGCAGGUUUUUACCGCUGGGGCUGCCCUAACAAUUUCCCAAGCUCUUCUUCAUUUAGCGAUGAGAACACCGAACGCAUCUGUUGGAUGUGAUCAAAUCUUCAUCUUGUCUUAUUAGAUUCGAAGAAUCGUAUAUCAUAUAGUUAAGUAACUAAUUUAUAUAUAUACACUAAACUAUUCGUAUCAGUUUAUCACACACCAAAGAGAUACAUACACAUAGUGGGUUCUCUCUUAGAUGUCAGACUCUGAUGUUAGUUUAUGUACUAGUUUGAGGAAAGCGUGAGGUUGGAAGCACUUUAGUAUAGACUAGUGUGUUUAAGGAAAGCGUGAGAAUGAGUUUAUGUACUAGUUUGAGUACCAUUUGCUACUUGCUAGGUUGUAGAGUUGAAACCGAAAUGGGUUUUUAGACUAAUGUAGACUAGUGUGGUUAAGGAAUAAGGAAAGCGUGAUUGUUUAAUGCUUAGUGCGUUUGUACUGCUGAUUGUUUAUGAUACUGGUUCUUAUAAUAAAUCACUUGUUUUGUAGGGUUUAUGGAUUUGGUGGAAGAUGUCAUGAAGGAGAACUUAUGUGUAUUGCUUUCUAUGAACUUAUGUAUGCAAUUAUGUAUGGAGUUAUGAUGUUUUGAACUUAUGGUAUAAAAUUAUGCUAUUUAUGUGGUAUUUGAAUGAAUUUUAUAUUGUUGUACUUGUGGAUUUAUGAAUGAAUUUUAAUCUUAUGAACUUAUAUUUGUAUUUAUAGGUCUAUAGAUUAAAAUUCAAAAUUUUCAUAAAUGGUCAUUAAUGGGUCCCAUGACAGCCCAUAUAAAUAUGGAUUUUGAUGGAAUGGUCCUUAAUGGACGUGGUCAAUUUCUGUCCACAAACUAUAAAUGGACAAACGGAUAUGGGCAAAUGGACAUGGACUUUCCCAUCUGACAGCUCUACGUAUCACACACCAAAGAGAUACAUACACAUAGUGGGUUCUUUAAACACAUUCCCUAACUACACAUGCUGACAUGCAUCAUGCACGUAUGCGUUUAACCACGAGCAGUUACCAAAUACUUAACUUGGGCCUUUAGCGUCCGGUCCAUGUGCGUGUAAACACACAACAAUUUUGCCGUUUAAACUUUGCUAGUAAGAGAUGCGUAAAAGUCCCACAUCGAUUACGUUUAAAGGGAAGAACUCGCGAAACCUUCUCCUCCUGUAGUGAAACCUGAGGAUGGCGAAGGGAAAACACCAAAAAAAUCGAGUUAGCACUUAGGAGGUCUUAAGAGUAGUAGCAAUAGAUACCGUUAUAUGGUUUUGAAGUUUCACUGCGCAUGUGCAGGGUUUCGUCGUGAAAAAGAAAAGGAAAAGAAUAGGAUUGGAACCACUGUCCUACAUGAGUAAAAAAAGGUGAAAAUGUCAGUACAAAACAUAAAGGUGGAACUCGGGCUUGAUUAGCAUUAUAUGUUGGAAAGCUAUCUACUUGAGCAAAAGAAAAAAUACAUACUGUUGUCUCUUGAAACUCGGAUUCAAGAUAGCCACUUGGAACCGGUUGUCCAGUAACAAGUAGUAUGUAACAGUAGCCUGAAACGAAGCAGCAAGUGGCUUUUAAAUAACUAUUGGAAACUAGUAUUUAAAAGCAUAACAGACAGAAACUACUACAUACCUCAUUUUGUACUCUGUUGCGAAGAGAUUCCAUAACCUGGUUUCUAUCAAAUCCCAUGUUAACCACUUCUUGAACUAUAUCUCCUCGUUGAUCUGCCAUAAUAUAAGAGAAGUUUGUUUACUAUCACCGCAAGUGAAUCUUUUGAUGUUCCAAAUGGUGCUUGAAGACCAACCUUUUUGGCCUGCUCUACUGUAUCUGGUGGAGCAACAGCAAGAUAACGAGGAAGAUGAGUCUGGAACCAACGUGUAAAUACCACCCUAGAGAGAAAAAUAACACCUCAGUUAAUUACUUCCCAUUUUUUUUUCCUUUUUUCCACUGACUACUCGAUUUAGGCAGCAAGAGUGAAGAAAUCCGAUGGCAUUGACUAUCUUCUUCUUCCUCGUUGUGAUUCAGAUUCUUAUUAUAAUUCUUGGUAGAAUUCAAAGCAAAAUGUACCACAAACGAUUUUAAAAGAUCAAGGAGUGGUUUCUCUUUAUUUAUUGAAACAUUAUACGGAAUAAACAAGAUCCAUAUGACAACAUAAUGAACUUCCAAUGAACAUCAUUUUUACAUAUAAUUUCUGUUUAUCAUCAAGUAUUACUAUAAUAAUCAUCUUUGGUUACUUCAACAAGUAGGAUAAGGAAUACCACAAAACCCUAAGGCCAAGUGAGCUUCCCGGGAAGUAGCGAACUUUUUUAAAGCUGGAUUCUUAAUGAAAUCGCAAUAACAUGGUUGUUGUGCUUUCAGUGUUCCGCAACACUGUGCAGAUGGCUUAGUUCCAUCAAAUAAUUCUGGCCAACAUCCUGUGAGAUCAAUCUUAGUGCAUGGUGGUUUUGUAGAUUCUACGACCACUCUUGAUUCGAUCUGAGGAGGAGAUGACACGAGGCCUACUACUACAAAGACGAUGAAUACUACUAGUGUUGUACUCUUCAUGUUUUGUCAAUUUCUAUCCACUUCCGAUGCUAUUCUUUUUAUUUUUUUUCUUCUCUAUCGUAAAGAGUACACUUUGAGAUUCUGAGUUGUGUUUAACUAGAGAUGAUGACACGAGGAUUACAAUUAACAACAACGGCGAUGAGUACUAUUAGUUCUGUACACUUCAUAUCUUGUGACUUUCUCUCUAUCUCAUGCCAUGUCUUCCAACAAUCGGUGGUCAGCAUAAAUAAGUAAGAGAAGCCACCCAAUAAAAUUUCAUCAAACAAUUUCUUUAGGUUUGUUAUUGAAUAUCACAUUUAAAGAACAUAAGUUUGUUCUAUUCCAUUUAAUAACUAAGAUUUUUAUUUUUAUUUUAUUUUAAACGUUAUAAAUGAUUUACUUAAAACAUUUCACGGAAUUGUGCUAUAAUGAAUUUCCAAUCAUCAUCACUCUUACAUACAUAAUUGUCCUUCAUUAUAUAAUACUUUAUAUUAGUUAUCUAGGACUUCAACAAACAGGAAAAGGAAUACCACAAGACGCUAGAGCUGCGUGACCUUGAGGAGAAGUAAUGUAUGGUCUUAAACCUGCAUUAUUUAUGAAACCACAAUAACAUGGUUGUUGUACUUUCAGAUUCUGACAACAAUCUGGCGAUAGUUGUGCUCCAAAGAUUAUGGCUGGAACGCAUUCUGUGAUAUCAAUAGUGGUGCAAGGUGGUUUAGUAGAUAAAGAUUGAAAUUCGGAUUUGAUCGGAGCCGUUGAUGACAAGAGGACAACAACAAACGCGAUGGAUGCUAGUGUUGUAAACUUCAUGGUGGCUUGUGACCUUCUCUCCACUUACAAUGUUAAUCUUUGUUUUUGUUAUUCUAAAAUGUAUUUUGAGAUUUUGAGUAGGAUGGUGAAGUUAUUUAUGUAGCGCCAUAACUGCAAUGCAAAAUAAUAUAAAAACAAAGUCUAUGUUUCGUUGGUUUUCUGUAAUUAGUUAUGACCAGAAAAGAAAAUUGUUUGACCAAAAGAAAAGAAAAGGAAGUGUAUGGAAAUAUAUGAUAUGAAGAGAUUUGAUACAUUUGCAGAUUUGAUACAUAUCCAAAUGAAAUAAUUUGCAAAUAUCCAUAAUUGAAAAAAAUAGCAAAAAAAUAACUAGAAAUUAGAAUAUCAAAAUUAUUUUAUACAAAUUAGGAUAACAUUAUAAUGUAUUUUAACAAAAUUGAGCUUGGAUGGGUCUUAGAAGGAUAAAGACUUAUGUUCAGGCUUUGGUUGGUAUAAUACAUUAGAAGAAUUUGAAAGAUUGAUAGGAACAAGAAACACAAGAGACUGUCUCUCACUACGAUCCGCAAUAACAAUGUCAUCACUUAACAAAGCGUAGUCGAGAAAUGGUCUUUUGCCAUUGAAAUUGAAACUUUCACUUAGCAAUGGGAAAUAUGAAAACUCUCAGAAAAUUUAUGUGAUUUUGCAACAAUUUCUUCUUAACUGAUGAAGAUAGUUCACUUCAGUAUUACUAUACAACGUAGUAAUACGAGUAAUAUCAGCAGAACUUAUCGACAUAAUAAUACCAGUAAUAUCUGUAAAACCAUUUUGUCUUUUAAAACUUGAAGAAAAGUUUACUUUUGUAACUUACCUGGAAAAAAUAUAAAGACUAAAUGAAAGUUUUAGCACUCUUGAGAUAAAAAAAACACAUAUUUGUGAUUCAAAACAAGCGAAUAAUCUUGCUCGUAGUGUAAGGUGUCAACUACCUUAAUAUAUUAUGUUUACUAGGUUAAGAUCCGCACCUUGCGCGGAAUGAAUAUUAUAUAUAAAUUAUUUUUAAGUAUUAUAUAUUUUUUACAUAUUAUGAAAUAAUGAAUAAUUAAAAAUUUAAUAACUAUUACAUAUAUAAUUAAAUUAGUACAAAUACUUAAAUAAAUUUUAUUUAUCCAGACAAGCACUUUUUCUAUUUUAUAUGUUAUAAAAUUAAGUUUAAAUGAUAUUAACAUAGAUAUAUUAUUAAUAUCAUUGUUUUUAAGUUAAUAUCUAUGUUAAUAUCAUUUAACAUAUAUAGUACAUUUUUAAUAUUGACAUCUGUUAUCAUUUGACAUAUGGGUGGCUUCUCUUACUAUAUAUCAUAUAUAGUACAUUUUUAAUAUUGACAUCUGUUAAAAAAUAUUUUAUACUCAUAUUAUUUUUGAUCGUUUGUAUUUCUUUAUAACGAAAAUUUUAAAUCAAUGAUAACAAUAAAAAAAUUUAUGGGAUGUUUAAUAGUUAUAGUAAUUUAUAAUUUUAAAAAUAUUCAAUGCAAAAUUUAAAAUCUAAAUAUUAAGUUGUCAAUAAUUGUUCAAAAUGUUUAUAAAAAAAAUUCAAAUCAAAUUCUAAAUUAAAAUACUUAUAUAUUUUAUAUGGUAUAUAAUUUAUUUUUAAAAAAUAUUAAUAUGCAUAUAUAUUAAAUGAGACUUCCUACUUAUGUAAUUUCGUAAUCAUUUGUAUCUUGUUAUAACAUAAAUUUUAAGCCAUGGAUCACAAAAAUUUCAGUGUGAGAUUUUUAACAACUUUAGUCAUUUAUAUUCGUUUUUUAAAAUUCAAAAUAUAACAUAUACGAAAAAAAUUAAAUUUUUGUUAUAUAGUUAAUGUGGUUGUUUAAUUUAUUUUAAAAUGAAUUAAAAAUGAUAGAGAAUAUACUGAUUUUUAUCAAAUCUUUAUUAUUCAAAAUUAUUAAUUGUAAUAUAUACUUUAGUCACAUUAGGUAAUUAUGUGAUUUUUAUUCAAGGAAACAAUGAAGAACAUUUAUGAUUAAUUUAUGGUAAGUUUAAUAAAAAGCUUAUUAUAUAUUUAUAUGGACAAAAUAUUUUUCUAAAGAUUUUAAAAAUGAUCGUGGUGAUGACAUGUGGCUACAAAAAUAUGUUGUAAUAAUUAUCAUUUAGUAUAUAGGAGAUGUUUGACGAGAAAAAGAAUUGGGCUUGUGGCUAUAGUUGAGUUUUGACCUGUCCUUAACAAAAAAAAAAAGAAAAAAAAAGACAUUAUCAAAAUGGUAAAACGAGUUUGUAGCCAAGAGUUAAGAAUCUGAGUGUAUUGUGAACAUCUAAGUUUUAUGUACACAUGAUCAAACCUUAGAAACCAUCAAAAAUGGAAAAAAAGAUAAUUACUAUUACAAUAGAGUUUUAGCUUCGAAUCCAGGUAUAUAAUAGCAACCCGGCAGAGUAAACACUGCACCCACAUCUUACACUAUCUUCUCUACUAUUACAAACCGUGGAAACAAAUGUCUUGAACAAAUGGUUAAAAGCUCUCAGAUCACACGGAGCUUGGUAAGAAAGGCUGCACAUAGACCCAGGAAGAGAAACUGAGGACCGUUAACUCUCUGUAUAUCCAGCAAGUACUUCUCUUCCCGAGCUUUGUAUAGCUGUUUCAAAAUCCAAAGUAGCACAGAAAAAAAAAUGUGAGCAUUGUUACUAUGAAACAGUUGGUUCAUGCUAUGGAGAAGGGUCUAGUCUCUGUCUUAGCCGGUUUUCGUUUGGGUGAACUACUGAAAAUAUUACCAAGAAACCUAAACUGUAAUAAUGAAACCGAACUAGGAAGUUUUUUUUCCCCUGAGAAACUUGCUGAGUCAAUAACUAACUGAGAUGUGUGUGAGUGUGCAGUUACCUGAAGUUCAAAUUUGAUGACGGUGGGUGAGGUCAUGGCACAGUCAUCUUCAAUGAUGCUGGAAUCAUCUCCAAAGUGCAGCUGAUUGUUGUCCCUAGUAUUCAGACCAUCAGCAAAACAAGGAACCCAUCGGCAUUUCAUGUUGUAGUGACCAAUCUUCUUCCAACACACAUUGAGUUCUUGAAGAGCUUUCAGUACUUCGUUCAUGAUCUCACGAGGAUGCGCUUGGGACUGUUCAAAACACAACGGUAUCAGAACAAUUAUCAGUUUGGCUAUGUGCAGGUGAAGAGUACUCAUUCAUAAACAAGAUAACAUUUAUAAAAUCCCCAAAGUUCCAAAUAAUAUAAUGAUAACUCUAACAAGAUUCAGCAAUCAUGAACAAACCUGAAGUCCAAGAGCCCAUUUACAGUCACUUGGGACUUGUGAUCUUCCUCCCAAUCCGUACUGAUCCAUAGGUGAAGGAACCCAGUGGCCUACAGGUGAAGCAGCCGCUUCAGCUGAGCGCAUAGGAUUGGAACCACUGUCCUAGAUGAGUAAGAAAAGGUGAAAAUGUCAGUACAAAACAUAAAGGUGGAACUCGGGUUUGAUUAGCAUUAUAUGUUGGAAAGCUAUCUACUUGAGCAAAAGAAAAAACACAUACUGUUGUCUCUUGAAACUCGGAUUCAAGAUAGCCACUUGGAACACGGAACCGGUUGUCCAGUAACAAGUAGUACGUAACAGUAGCCUGAAACAAGCAGCAAGUGGCUUUUAAAUAACUAUUGGAAACUAGUAUUUAAAAGCAUAACAGACAGAAACUACUACAUACAUCGUUUUGUACUCUGUUGCUAAGAGAUUCCAUAACCUGGUUUCUGUCAAAUCCCAUGUUAACCACUUCUUGAACUAUCUCCUCGUUGAUCUGCCACAAUAUAAGAGAAGUUUGUUACUAUCACCUCAAGUAAACGUCUUGAUGUUCCAAAUGGUGCUGAAGAACAAACCUUUUUGGCCUGCUCUACAGUGUCUGGUGGAGCAACAGCAAGGUAACGAGGAAGAUGAGUCUGGAACCAACGGUGUUGACGGAUCUCAGGAAUGGUGAUUCGUUUCACUGGGUCAACUACAAGCAUCCUUGGGAUCAGGUCUCUAGCAUCAGGUGAUAAAUGACUUGGAAGAGUGUAAAUACCACCCUAGACAGAAAAUAACACAUAAAUUAAAUUACUUGACAUAAUAAUGAUGAAAAUAACACAGAAGUUAGAUUGUAGAGUACCUUAAUCUUCUUGAAAAGGUUGGGAAUGUUUUCAUCAUCAAAUGGAAGAGUACCACAGAGUAGAGCAUACAAUAUCACUCCGCAACUCCAUACAUCUACUUCAGGUCCAGCGUAUAAUUUUCCUGAUAUAACCUACAAGUAGUUUCAGAUAGAUACUAUAAUCCAAUGAAAGGAGUAUAUAACUAAAUAAGAAUACUAAUAAUAAACUAAACUGAAUACCUCAGGAGCAGCGUAGUUGGGGCUUCCACAGCUCGUUUUCAGAAAAUGACCAUCUCUCAUGACAUUACUCAGUCCAAAAUCUGCAAUCUUGAUAUUGCACCUCGAGUCCAACAGCAAAUUCUCAGGCUUGAGGUCUCUAUGGACAACCAUAUUGCGAUGGCAAUACUCCACACCAGAUAUUAUCUGCUCGGACAUGAGUCAAACUCAGAGAAAAGGACACUGGUUGUGGGAAAGAGAUGAACAAACAAAACCUGCUGGAAAAAGUUACGAGCCUCCUCCUCUUGUAACCUGCCUUUCUCUACAAUGUAAUCAAAGAGCUCUCCGGACUUGACAUACUCCAUAACAACGUAAAUGUCACUUAGGGUCUCUAUGACUUCAUACUGCCGAAUGAUAUGAUGAUGCAUAAACAAUCUCAGAAUUUUUAUCUCCCUCCUCACUAUAAGGAAGGAAGAAGCAGAGCAUUUAAUCAAAACAUAUACAGUAAAAUCAAGUAUUCUUUUUUUUUUUUUUUUUUUUUGUAAAUUAAUAAACUCUCGUGAUCCUAAACAUUAUUAAUCUAUAGAGUUUUUACUGUACAUAAUAACCUCCUUAUGCAUUCAGAUAUGUAAAGCAUGUGUAGAUCAAUAGUAACAAACUAUUCAAUCAUCAAAGGUUUGUUCAAGAAAGCUGUGAAGCAUGUGUUAUUAUUAUUACCUUUCUCUUCCAUGUCCAUGUUCUUGAUCUUGCGGCGAUUGAGGAUCUUGAUAGCAACCUUGUGGCCAGUGACGACGUGCUCAGCUAUUUUAACUUUGCCGAAAGAUCCGAUGCCAAGGGUUUUACCAAGCUUGUAGUUUGCUAGAAUGGAUUCAACUCCAUUGCCACCAAAUCUAUUUGAUGAAUGAUCCAUUUUCCCCUUCUGUCAACAAACAACAUUUUGUUAUAGUUAAAACUUGCUCCUCAAAAUCUACACCAUUAUCAAUCAACACGUAUUCCGUGAUACAGUCAAGACACUCAUCAAUUAGGUUUAAGCAGGAGAAAUUGAUCAAGUUUACAAACAUUUAUUUACCCUUUGUUUUCGAGCAGAUCCUCGAAUCGAAAUAGAAGUUGUUCAAAGAAAGAGCCAACUAAUAAAACUACACCGAGAGAGAGAUAUGAAAAGGUUAGUCUUACUGUGUAAUGGUAAAAUGUUGGUAAACUCAGAUUCCAACUCGUGUGUGUGUGACUCAGAGCUGAGUCAGUCCUUUGAUGGUGUGUUGAAUCAAGGAAACCAAUUAAUGCCAAUUUGAGUCUGUAAAUUGUUUACAGUGCACAAAAAAAAGGAAAUAAACUGUUUACUUUUUUUUUUAAUACAUUUCAGUUAUUAUUACGUUUUUUUUACUCAAGAAACAUUGUUUAUUUAUGAAUAAAUUUUAAUUUAUGUUUUAAAAUACUUCUAUGUUUAAGUCGUCAAAUAUGUACAUGUUUAUGUUAUUGGCAUGUCUCAGAAUUUCUUGAUUAACUGGGAAAAAGGAAGAAAUGUAUCAAAUACAAAACCAAAAAUUUCAAAACAAACAUGCAUUAAAACUUAAUGUGAGGAAGAAAUAGAAUUUAUUUAUAAUAAAAAAAUAGCAUUCGGUUAUUUUAAAAGAAUACAUUUUGAUGAUGUUUAGAAUUCAUCUAUUUUCUAAAAGUAUAUUGAUGGGUUAGACAAUCUUAACUCGUACACAAUAAUUUUUUUUAAUAUUUCAUUAUAAAAUAGUGUAAUUUUAUUAUAGAAUGAACCUAAAUCUAAUUGUAUAAUAUAAUUUAUUUAUUUUACAGUGAAAUAUAGAGAAAAUUAUUGUGUAGCAUUAGCUUUUGGAGAUAUUUUUUCCCAACAUGUCAUUGUUAUGAAGUUCACUUCAUUUGUCUGCUUUGCCGACAAAACCCAAAGACGCAUACAAAAUAUUGACAAAAACGAGGUUCAAUAAGAUUCACAAGUUAGAUGAAUAGAAACAUAACAGUCUAUGUAGUAUCCCUAUCUAUAAUAAUCCAAGCCUUUUGGAGUGAUUCAUGAAACACCUCAUCAAGUCUAUUAUUUGUAUACUAUUACAUAUCUCCACUAAGACUCUUCCUUUGAAAGGAAAAAAAAAAAAAAAUUUAUGCACAGAUAGUCGUGUAACGUCUCUCCAGCUACUUGAGAAGUCAGUAGGAGGGAAUGGCUGCGAAACGGUACCCUUCAGCUCCUCUCCACGAGUAGUAAGCAAUCCGAGUCUCAUAGAACCCUGAUUAUAGCCACACAAUUGUGAAAUCAUCGUUAUACUCAUAUAGCAUAAACGGACAUAGAGAACAAACAAAAGAGAAGAAUCAUUUCAGCAGAGACAAAGAACACAAGCUGUAUGUACUAACUUGAUCAAUCUCACUCGAUCUCCACAUCAAACAAACGGAAUCCACAAGGGUUAUCAAAUCAAGCAACAUGUAACAUAUUCACUGCACUUUCCAGAAAACUGGAGGAUCACAGAAGCAUAAGUGGCUAAAAGAAAACGUAAUUUCAAACAGACAAAAGAACACAAGCUGUGUCUACUUGCUCCAGCUCCCUUAAUCUCUACAUCAAACAACGGAAUCCACAAAGGGUUUUUUAAAAUCAAGCAUUAUGCAUUGAGAACAGCAACGUGAUGACAUUCACUGCUCUUUCCAGGAAACAUAAGAGGAUCUCAGAAGCAUAAAUGGCUAAAGAAAGCAUCAUUUCAACAGACAACAGAGCAAAAACUGCAUGAUUUCAGCAGACAAGGAACACAAGCUGCAUAAUUUCAGCAGACAAGGAACACAAGCUGCCUGAUUUCAACAGACAAAGAACACAAGUUGCAUGAUUUCAACAGACGAGGAAAAUAAGCUGUUGUCUACUUGAUCCAACUCACUCAAUAUCCACAUCAAACAACGGUUUUCAAAUCAAGGAUCAAGCACUCAAACAGCAACAUGACAACGUUCACUGCUCUUUCCAGAAAACUAAAGGAUCUCAGAAGCAUAAAAAGACUAAAGAAACCAUAGUAUCAACAGACAAAGAGCUAGCAUAAUCUUUGCCAUGUUGAUCCAACUCACUAAAACUCCACAUCAAACAACAGACUCCAUUGCAAUGAAGUAUCAAGCGAGAAUAAAUAAACUAAAGAAUCAUAUCUAACUCUUACCAGGGAGGAAAGUAAGGAUGCCAAGAACAAGAAGCGCGUAACCCUGAGAGCUAUCUCCUUCCAUGUGACCAGUGAAUAUGAAAACCGUCAAAAGGAGAAGCAAGCAACCAAGAAACAGAAGAAACAAAGCUAACGCUAUAGACUUCCACGGUACUCUAUCAAAUGCUUUCGGCGUAUAAUCGAAUCGAGGAUCGAAAUCUCUCCUUACGCCACCGUUUGCGUAAUCUUCAUCGUCUUCGUCCCCUGGAAGCUGAGCGUACCGUACGUUUCUCCUCGACGCCAUUCCUAAUCAGAGUAACCACACACAAAAACAAACUCUUAACUAAGAGAAAUCAAGGUUACGAAAAUCAAUCGCGCCAAAAUUGAACGGCUUAGAACCUGAAGAAGAGAAAGGUGGGGGCGAGAAACUAACCGGAGUUGGAUGAUUCCGUCGUCGGGAGGAUAGAGAUGAUCCGGAUCUACUUUGACGAGCGGAUUUGCAUUUCUUCUUCGUCUUCGUCUCUAUCGCGACGACGACGCUUUUUGCGUUUCAACUCUUUUGAAACUUUAUAGAUUAAGUCCCUUGGAUUUCAUUAAAUCAUAUACUGAACCCCUUACUUUAUUUUUGUCUAAAAAAGACCAAUCAAUGAUAUUGUGUGCUCGUGUGUUACUUAUUCUCCCUUUACAUUUACCAAGGAGAAAAAGACCAAAAUAGUAUUAAAUCAAGUUUUUGUUCCCAAACUAACAUUCAAGGCCAAAAGUCACAAAAAUAGCAUUCAAGGGGUGGGGUUUAGUGUUUAGAAUUUAGGGUUUAUGGUUUAGAGUUUAGGUUUUAGGGUUUAGAGUUGAGAAGUGAGGUUUUGGAGAUAAGAUUUCAAAUUUUGAAAAUUAAAAAAAUUUAAAUUUUUCAAAAAAUAAAAUGCUAUUUUGGUCAUUUUAGUUUUUGAGUGCUAUUUUGUGAUAUAAAUUUAGAAAGGUGCUAUUUUGGAGAUUUGCCAUUUACUAAAUCUUAACCUUAAAAUUAAAAGAAGAGUUUUACUUGCAGGAUGACCACAAUUGAAAUUAUGUAUAUGCCAUUACCAUAAGAUUGUAACAAAGCUAAACCAUAGCAAAUUAGAUGUUCACAUGGCAAACUAGAAUAUCUUUUAAGAAAUGAGAAAUUAAACCCUAUAACCAAAAAAAUAUCCAAAUUAACAAAGUAACCAACCUUUCCACACUUUUUUUUCCUAUUUUUCUCUACUUUUUUUUCUCAUAGCAAACUAGAAUAUCUUUUAAGAAAUGAGAAAUUAAACCCUAUAACCAAAAAAAUAUCCAAAUUAACAAAGUAACCAACCUUCCCACACUUUUUUUUCCUAUUUUUCUCUACUUUUUUUUCUCAUGGCAAACUAGAAUAUCUUUUAAGAAAUGAGAAAUUAAACCUUAUAACCAAAAAAAUAUCCAAAUUAACAAAGUAACCAACCUUCACACACUUUUUUUCCUAUUUUUCUCUACUUUUUUUUCUCAUGGCAAACUAGAAUAUCUUUUAAGAAAUGAGAAAUUAAACCCUAUAACCAAAAAAUUAUCCAAAUUAACAAGGGUCAAUUAGCCAAAUAGCUAAAAUUUGAAGUGAAAUUAAGAGAAUGGCAUUGAUUUUGACGUAAUUGGAUAACUAACAUUUAAGGCCCAUUUGAUCCGGUAAUACCCUUGGUUGGUGCAAGUAACCGGUGAAAGAUAGAAAGUUAGAUGACGUAAACAAAUUGAGGUAUGGCUAAUAUUUAAAUCACAUCUGAGUGAAUAUAAGGAACCACGUCACAUAUUUAUGACCACAUACAUAUGUUUCAGUGUUCUAUUCCACAUCACCGAAAUAAAACAGAUUUCUAACCUCACUCACAUACUCUAAUACUAAACAUUAUCCCAAAUCUAACCCAUAUAUACUAAACAUUAUCCAAAUCCCACCCCAACCCCUUAAUACUAAACCCUAAACCUUAAUCAAUAAACCCUAAACUCAAAUACAUAACUCUAAACCUAAAUAUAAAUUCUAAACCCAAAUAUAAAUUCUAAACCCAAAUAGAAUGAAACAAAAUAAAUAAUAUGGUAUAUAUUGGUAAAAUUAUGAAAUGUCUAUAAUUUCGUAGAAGAAGUUGAUGUUGAUCCCAACUAUACCUCCUCAUCUUCUAAAUACUAAACCCUAAACUAUAUUCACUAAUCCCUAAACUCAAAUAUAAACCAUAAACCCAAAUAGAAUGUAACAAAAUAAAUAGCAUGGUAUAUAUUGGUGAAAUUAUGAAAUAUCUAUGAUUUCAUGGAAACGGUUAAUGUGACCCAACUGUACCCAACUAUACCCUAAACUUUAAUCCCUAAAACCUAAAUAUAAACCCUACACGGAAAUAUAAACCCUAAUCUAAUGUCAACCCCAAUCUUUCAUAAACUAAACCCGAAUGGAACAAAAUGAUGAAAUAUCUAUGAUUUCAUGGAAGAAGUUAAUGCUGAUCCCCCAACCAUAUCCCCUCACCUUCUAAAUACUAAACCCUAAAUUAUAUUCACCAAACCCUAAACCAAAAUAUAAACCCUAAACCCAAAUAUAAAUCCUAAACCCAAAUAUCAAAGUCUAAAAAAUUACAUAUAUUAUGUAAAAUUAAAUUAUAUUAUGUAAUAUUAAACUACACAAUCUAGAUCAUAGCACGAUAUUUACUUGUUCCAAAACUAUAUUUCUUAACAAAAUAAAACACUCUUUAGUAAUCAUCAAAUGGAAUGGAACAUGAUAAAAUAGAAGAGUAGCAUAAUAUAUCGCAUUUCAUAACAGGAAUAGAACAAACAUAACACAUAUUAUUUUACAUUUCUAUUCCAUAUGCGAAUAGAAUAGAACAAACAUAACACAUAUUGUUUUACAUUUCUAUUCCAUAUGCGAAUAGAAUAGAACAAAAUAAACAGAUACUGUUUAUCUUCUCCGAUCAACUUCAUCCACGGCGAAAAAAUGUAACUAUAUCUCGCAACAUCAGUGGAGAUAAUACAUAUAACCGUAUCAGAGAGACAUAUUUUGUUGUUGAUACAGUAAAUAGAAGAGAAGAACAUACGGUGGUGACGGAUGAUGGUGCUGUUUGCAUAGAUGGAGGUGAUCGCCACUACACAGGUCUUUUCGGCUAGGAUCAACACAAAUUGGAAUGUGAAUGCGAAUCAGCAAGGGAUUGUAAUUAGAGAAAACGCGGUGGAGAGAAUCUGGAGUGAAACUAUUCAAAGGGGUGUGAAUCUGGAAGAGACACGACAUAUUUUUGCAAAAUAGUAAUUUUUAUUUUUAUUUUUUUCUAGCAGGUUUCUCCGGUUUCAAGCAGGGGUAAUACAGCAAUAUUAUAUAAAAGACAUGUGAAACAGUGAAAAGUUAGGGUAUUUGGCUACUCAAUCAAUUAUGCUUUUUUGUAGCGUCAUCUCACUUAAUUUCCCAAUUAACAAAGUAACCAACCUUCUCUCACUUUUUUUUUUCCUUUUUUUCUCUACUUUUUUUCUCAUGGCAAACUAGAAUAUCUUUUAAGAAAUGAGAAACUGAACCCUAUAACCAAAAAAUUAUCCAAAUUAGCAAAGUAACCAACCUUCUCCCACUUUUUUUUUCCUAUUUUUCUCUAAUUUUUUUCUCUAGAAAUUUAAUUUUGUUUUCUUAUUGUUAUUUCACUAAUUAACCCUUAAAAAUUAAGAAGAAGAAGAAAAUAAAGUCAUGUGGAAGGGGUCAAUUUGGAAAGAAGAAAAAGUAGAGGGGUACAAGUGGGAGAAUAGAAAAAGAGAGUGCGUAUAUAAAGGGAAGAAGGAAGCCC
rnacentral:lncRNA from 1 species